ACAAAAAAAUUCUGCUUUGCAGACUAUAUAAGUUGAAUACAAUCCUUCAGAAGCACACUUGAUCUGACCAAGUUGUAGCUCUACAAUGAAAGCAAUAUUCGCACUCUUUUUGAUAGUCGCCAUCAUAGGAAUGGCUAUGGCUGGAGUUCACCAUUACAAAGUUAAAGGCGGUGGAGGUCAUGACUCUGCCCAUCAUGGAGGAAGUAUAUUUGAUGCUGUUGCAAGUGGCAUUAAUGGAUUAUUCGGCUAAACGAAUGAAUUAUGUAAAAGGACUACUGAAAAAUGUACGAAUGUUAUCCUAAUUUGAAAUAAAAAUUAUAGCUGCAUUUUACAA